rnacentral:misc_RNA from 1 species
UACGGAGGGAGCUAGCGUUGUUCGGAAUUACUGGGCGUAAAGCGCGCGUAGGCGGCUUUGCAAGUCAGAGGUGAAAGCCCGGGGCUCAACCCCGGAAUUGCCUUUGAGACUGCAUCGCUAGAAUUGUGGAGAGGUAAGUGGAAUUCCGAGUGUAGAGGUGAAAUUCGUAGAUAUUCGGAAGAACACCAGUGGCGAAGGCGACUUACUGGACACAUAUUGACGCUGAGGUGCGAAAGCGUGGGGAGCAAACAGG